AUACUUGUAAGUAAUGUUCCAAACUCAGUAAUGUAAUAAAACCAAUUCUGUUCUUAUCAGCUUAAUAUCUGAUACGAGCCCUAUUUGGACUCACGAUAUUAUUUUUGGCCCCAGACAGUGUGUCUGGAGCUCGCCUCGGCAGUGUCGAGGGUUGCCCUGGUAUUGCACUACCUGCAGGUGCGGCCCACCCGUC